rnacentral:rRNA from 1 species
CUACGCUGCGAUAAGCCGUGGGGAGCUGCGAAGAAGCUUUGAUCCACGGAUUUCCGAAUGGGGAAACCCACCUUCGAUAGCCGGAACUCCAAGACCUUGUGUUUUGGGGUUCGACCAGAAAUGGAAGAAAUCAGACCGCGAGGUUUUGGAUUUCCGGUUAUCAAGAGAAGGUAUGAGACUUCCGAAUAAAAUAGGAGGUUUUAAGCGAACCCAGGGAACUGAAACAUCUAAGUACCUGGAGGAAAGGACAUCAAUCGAGACUCCGUUAGUAGUGGCGAGCGAACGCGGACCAGGCCAGUGAUACAUCAAAGACAAUCGGAACCUGUCAGGAAAGCAGGGCCUUAGAGGGUGAUAGCCCCGUACGAGUAAUGCGAUGAUGUAUCCACGAGUAAGGCGGGACACGUGUAAUCCUGUCUGAACACGGGGGGACCACCCUCCAAGCCUAAGUACUCCUCAGCGACCGAUAGU